UACGAAGGGGGCUAGCGUUGUUCGGAUUUACUGGGCGUAAAGCGCACGUAGGCGGAUUGGUCAGUUAGAGGUGAAAUCCUGGAGCUCAACUCCAGAACUGCCUUUAAUACUGCCAGCCUCGAGUCCGGAAGAGGUGAGUGGAACUCCUAGUGUAGAGGUGGAAUUCGUAGAUAUUAGGAAGAACACCAGUGGCGAAGGCGGCUCACUGGUCCGGUACUGACGCUGAGGUGCGAAAGCGUGGGGAGCAAACAGG
rnacentral:rRNA from 1 species